AUUGAACGCUGGCGGCAGGCCUAACACAUGCAAGUCGAACGAGUGGCGGACGGGUGAGUAAUGUCUGGGAAACUGCCCGAUGGAGGGGGAUAACUACUGGAAACGGUAGCUAAUACCGCAUACCAUCGGAUGUGCCCAGAUGGGAUUAGCUAGUAGGUGGGGUAACGGCUGACAUAGGCGACGAUCCCUAGCUGGUCUGAGAGGAUGACCAGCCACACUGGAACGUAGCAACGGUCCACGCUCCAAGGGGAGGCAGCAGUGGGGAUUAGGGCAACAUGGGCGCAAGCCUGAUGAAGCCAUGCCGCGUGUAGGACGAAGGCCGUCGGGUUGUAAAGUACUGUCAGCGAGGAGGCGUUACUCGCAGAGGAAGCACCGCGUAAGUCCGGGCCAGCAGCCGCGGUAAUUC
rnacentral:rRNA from 1 species